ACGGAGGAAUUUAUUUCGGUAAAUUCUUAGUGGCGAACGGGUGAGUAACGCGUAGGCAACCUGCCCUUUGGAUGGGGACAACAUUCCGAAAGGAGUGCUAAUACCGAAUGUGAUCCAUCUCUCGCAUGAGAGAUGGAUGAAAGAUGGCCUCUAUUUAUAAGCUAUCGCCAAAGGAUGGGCCUGCGUCUGAUUAGUUAGUUGGUGGGGUAACGGCUCACCAAGACGAUGAUCAGUAGCCGGUCUGAGAGGAUGAACGGCCACAUUGGGACUGAGACACGGCCCAAACUCCUACGGGAGGCAGCAGUGGGGAAUCUUCCACAAUGGACGAAAGUCUGACGGAGCAACGCCGCGUGAGUGAUGAAGGUUUUCGGACUGUAAAACUCUGUUGUCAGGGACGAAGGUGCGAUCUGCGAAUAGUUGAUCGUAUUGACGGUACCUGACGAGGAAGCCACGGCUAACUACGUGCCAGCAGCCGCGGUAAUACGUAGGUGGCAAGCGUUGUCCGGAAUUAUUGGGCGUAAAGAGCAUGUAGGUGGGCUUUUAAGUCCGAUGUGAAAAUGCGGGGCUCAACCCCGUAUGGCAUUGGAUACUGGAAGUCUUGAGUGCA
rnacentral:rRNA from 1 species